GAUCGUGGGUAAUUUAUCUAUUUGUCCUUCUGCCAUUGCGUAGGGGACUCGAUCGACUUUAGUAAAUCUUCCUGAAUUUGGAUCGAAUGUUGUGAAUCAUCGACGUGAGACGUCCCUGAUCGUCUACUUUAGUGGACUAAAACAUCAUUCUUGCAAUCUUUGUGUCCGGUUAGAGUUAUGCAUGUUGAACCGUCUCGACCCAGUUAAGCUAUCGCUUGCCAAGAAAGAGACGAGUUUGUGAUCAACACUCCCCCCAGCAGAAAUCAAGACUGAAGAGAGUACAAGGAAGAAGUUUGUGCACCAAAGGAGGAGCGACCACAACGUCAACGCCAGGACGCUGUGUUCAAUCUGCAGCCUCGACUUGUCCUACGCAGAGCAGCCCGUCGUCGACAAGGCCAUCGUGACGUUUUGGAUUCCUGUUAGGUCUAAAUUAUGCAAAUGAAGGAACAAGACAGGUCUUCAAUUUGGCUCUAGAGGAGAAACGGGUUUGACUGACCAGUUGCAAUGCCAACACCCGUUCUGAGUCAGCCUCAUCAGUGUCCCCCUUUUUAUUUGUUUCUCAAAACAAAAGGGUUACAAGAUUAUAAAGCAAAUGAAAGAACAGAUGACAUUACCAACACAAAGAUAAACAUAACAAUGGUGAAUGCCAAUACAGGGGUGAAUACAAAGGAAGCAUAAUGGUGUUGAGGAGUAUCUGCCCAGAAAGGGGGUGCAUCACUCCUCAAGGCGUCGCUGGGUUAUACUCCCAAGUCACACUGCUGCUUGGAAGGAGAACAAUGCCAGAGGAGGACAAUAGAACAAUACCAAAAGAGAACAAUAGAAAAGCAAGAAUAAUAAAGACAAAUACAUGAUAAAAGAAUGGAUCUAAUGUUUCCCUCCUGUUUAUUAUGCAUUUGCACAAAUUCUUUUCUCAUCCAGUAACUUCUUCA